rnacentral:rRNA from 1 species
UACGUAGGGGGCAAGCGUUGUCCGGAAUCAUUGGGCGUAAAGAGCGUGUAGGCGGCCCGGUAAGUCCGUUGUGAAAGUCCAGGGCUCAACCCUGGAAAGCCGAUGGAUACUGCCGGGCUAGAGUUCGGAAGAGGCGAGUGGAAUUCCUGGUGUAGCGGUGGAAUGCGCAGAGUAAUCAGGAGGAACGACCUAUAGCGAAGGCAGCUCGCUGGGACGACACUGACGCUGAGACGCGAAAGCGUGGGGAGCGAACAGG